rnacentral:rRNA from 2 species
GUCUUUAUGGUAUUUAUAUAUAAAGUCUGCUCUGCUCAAUGAAUAAUUUAAAUAGCUGCAGUAAAUUGACUGUAUGAAAGUAGCAUAGUAAUUAGCUUAUUAAUUGUGAGCUUGAAUGAAUGAGUUGAUGAAAGAUUAACUGUCUCUAUUUUAUUUUUAAUUGAAUUUAAUUUUUAGGUAAAAAAGCUUAAAUUGGUAAAGGGACGAGAAGACCCUAUAGAACUUUAUAAUAUUAAUUAUGGUGAAUAAUCUUUUAUUAAUUGGUUGGGGUGACUGGAAUAAUAAUUAAACUAUUUUUUUUAUUUACAUAAAUGCAUGGAUAAUAUAAUUGAUUUAAUUAUAUUGUUAUAAGAAUAGUUACCUUAGGGAUAACAGCACAAUUUAUAUGGAGAGUUCUUAUUAAUAUAUAAGAUUGUGACCUCGAUGUUGAAUUAAGAUAAAGUUUAAUAAGCAGAGGAUUAAAACUUGGGUCUGUUCGACCUUAAUAAUCUUACA